AAGUACUUCACCAAGGUGGAGAGGCCAGUAGAACCUGCACAUACUUCCUCAGCAAUAGCUCUCACAGCCUCCCCUCCUUCUUCUCCAUGCACCGCUCAGCAGUAAUGCAAUGCAAGAUGUCCACAUCUUGUGUGAGAACUCAGAAAAACUUACAAGAGCGCAUUGAAGCUGCAGCCACUGCUAUUAUUAUGUCAAAGCCAAAAGACUGACUAUGUCUUCAAGCUCAUCUGCAAGAUCCCUCCUGCCACUCUCAAUCAUGGCUGCCAUCAAUCGUGCCACCGCCCCAGGCCCGGCGCUCUUCUGUCCUCGGGCCCAGUGGAAGAGCAUGUCCAGUACCAGAGCUCCAAGAUUGUCCCUGGUGAGAAGAGCAGCAGAAUGUCCCAAAUAAAUUUCACCUCAUAAGUUAAUGACUGCAGUGAGCACCAACAGGGAGUAAAGAAUUGAUACAACCAGUAGUGGUACUACAUAGUGAUAUUAGCCACCAUCUGGGUAUGAAAUGUGCGUGUGAUGUAUCACAUAGCAUUGGAAAGUGCUUUGGGCGCAUCUAAAUUAGAACAGCAAAACAUUAAACAGCAAAACUCAUUUAUCAUUUUCUGACCAUGAUUUACAACGUGCUGAAUGAUUUUGUAAAUAUUGAGCAUGCUAAAUCACAGCCAUCACAUCAAAAGUUUAUUUUGCUUGUAUGCCUGCAGAAUGUGUUACGUGAGCAAG